UAAAUAUACCAACAAUUGGAAAUAAAAACAUGAAAAGAAAUGGAGAGACGUGUUGGAAAUAUCAUUGAGACAGCAGUGGCUUCUAUGUCGACAGAAUCUGCUGCAUAAGAUCAAGGAAAUGGAGGAUGUGCAUCAUGAAGAAUCAAUGGUAUCAGAACACAACAUCAUGGAAGAUCUUAUUGACAAGAUCUCGGAGGAUGUCCUUUGCCAGAUGUUUGCCAGCACUAAAGUCUAUUCAUCAGUCAGAUGCUAAAGUUACAAAUGACAGUGAAUGGUCAGAUUUAUACAAUUGUGAUUAACAACCCUCAACAAUACAUCAAACAAAAAUGCCUAUUAAAC